rnacentral:rRNA from 1 species
UACGUAGGGGGCAAGCGUUGUCCGGAAUCAUUGGGCGUAAAGCGCGCGUAGGCGGCCCGAUAAGUCCGCUGUAAAAGUCAACGGCUCAACUGUUGAAAGCCGGUGGAUACUGUCGGGCUAGAGUCCGGAAGAGGCAAGUGGAAUUCCUGGUGUAGCGGUGAAAUGCGUAGAUAUCUGGAGGAACACCGGUGGCGAAGGCGGCAUCCUGGACCGGUAUUGACGCUGAGGCGCGAAAGCCAGGGGAGCAAACGGG